ensembl:snoRNA
UAGGCCCUGAAUGAAGGCUAAUGGUUUGCUUGUAGCCAUUAGUUUCAAGCAGGUGCCCAGAGGAACAUUUUCCCAUGGUCUGUUGGCUGUUUUGAAUUUCAGAGUGGAACAGCCAAUUCAUUGGGGACUAACACCA